rnacentral:rRNA from 1 species
GAUGAACGCUAGCUACAGGCUUAACACAUGCAAGUCGAGGGGAAACGAUGAGAGAGCUUGCUCUCUUAGGCGUCGACCGGCGCACGGGUGAGUAACGCGUAUCCAACCUGCCCAUUACAGGGGAAUAACCUUGCGAAAGUAAGACUAAUGCCCCAUGGUAUUCUCAGCAGACAUCUAAUGAGGAUUAAAGAUUAAUCGGUAAUGGAUGGGGAUGCGUCUGAUUAGCUUGUCGGCGGGGUAACGGCCCACCAAGGCAACGAUCAGUAGGGGUUCUGAGAGGAAGGUCCCCCACAUUGGAACUGAGACACGGUCCAAACUCCUACGGGAGGCAGCAGUGAGGAAUAUUGGUCAAUGGGCGAGAGCCUGAACCAGCCAAGUAGCGUGCAGGGCGACGGCCCUAUGGGUUGUAAACUGCUUUUAUAGGGGAAUAAAGUGGACUACGUGUAGUUUAUUGUAUGUACCCUAUGAAUAAGGACCGGCUAAUUCCGUGCCAGCAGCCGCGGUAAUACGGAAGGUUCGGGCGUUAUCCGGAUUUAUUGGGUUUAAAGGGAGCGUAGGCCGUAGAUUAAGCGUGUUGUGAAAUGUAGAUGCUCAACAUCUGACUUGCAGCGCGAACUGGUUUACUUGAGUGUGCGCAACGUAGGCGGAAUUCGUCGUGUAGCGGUGAAAUGCUUAGAUAUGACGAAGAACUCCGAUUGCGAAGGCAGCUUACGGGAGCACAACUGACGCUGAAGCUCGAAGGUGCGGGUAUCAAACAGG